rnacentral:rRNA from 1 species
UACGUAGGCAGCGAGCGUUGUUCGGAGUUACUGGGCGUAAAGGGUGUGUAGGCGGUUCUUUAAGUUUGGUGUGAAAUCUCCCGGCUCAACCGGGAGGGUGCGCCGAAUACUGAGGGACUAGAGUGCGGGAGAGGAAGGUGGAAUUCCUGGUGUAGCGGUGAAAUGCGUAGAUAUCAGGAGGAACACCGGUGGUGUAGACGGCUUUCUGGACCGUAACUGACGCUGAGACACGAAAGCGUGGGUAGCAAACAGG